rnacentral:ncRNA from 1 species
UUGAGUCGGAUGAGAGGAAACUUUCAUGUCCGAUCCUGAGGGGGGGAAAUCUACCCUCAU